GUGGCGAACGGGUGAGUAACACGUGAGUAACCUGCCCUUAACUCUGGGAUAAGCCUUGGAAACGAGGUCUAAUACUGGAUAUUGACUUUUCCUCGCAUGGGGAUUGGUUGAAAGAUUUAUUGGUUUUGGAUGGACUCGCGGCCAAUCAGCUUGUUGGUGAGGUAAUGGCUCACCAAGGCGACGACGGGUAGCCGGCCUGAGAGGGUGACCGGCCACACUGGGACUGAGACACGGCCCAGACUCCUACGGGAGGCAGCAGUGGGGAAUAUGCACAAUGGGCGAAAGCCUGAUGCAGCGACGCCGCGUGAGGGAUGACGGCCUUCGGGUUGUAAACCUCUUUCAGUAGGGAACAAGGCCAGACGUUGUCUGGUUGAGGGUACUUGCAGAAGAAGCGCCGGCUAACUACGUGCCAGCAGCCGCGGUAAUACGUAGGGCGCAAGCGUUAUCCGGAAUUAUUGGGCGUAAAGAGCUCGUAGGCGGUUUGUCGCGUCUGCCGUGAAAGUCCGGGGCUCAACUCCGGAUCUGCGGUGGGUACGGGCAGACUAGAGUGAUGUAGGGGAGACUGGAAUUCCUGGUGUAGCGGUGAAAUGCGCAGAUAUCAGGAGGAACACCGAUGGCGAAGGCAGGUCUCUGGGCAUUAACUGACGCUGAGGAGCGAAAGCAUGGGGAGCGAACAGGAUUAGAUACCCUGGUAGUCCAUGCCGUAAACGUUGGGCACUAGGUGUGGGGGACAUUCCACGUUUUCCGCGCCGUAGCUAACGCAUUAAGUGCCCCGCCUGGGGAGUACGGCCGCAAGGCUAAAAC
rnacentral:rRNA from 1 species